AUUGAACGCUGGCGGCAGGCUUAACACAUGCAAGUCGAGCGGGGUGAGGUGCUUCGGUACUGAUCCUAGCGGCGGACGGGUGAGUAAUGCUUAGGAAUCUGCCAUUUAGUGGGGGACAACAUUCCGAAAGGAAUGCUAAUACCGCAUACGUCCUACGGGAGAAAGCAGGGGAUCUUCGGACCUUGCGCUAAAUGAUGAGCCUAAGUCGGAUUAGCUAGUUGGUGGGGUAAAGGCCUACCAAGGCGACGAUCUGUAGCGGGUCUGAGAGGAUGAUCCGCCACACUGGGACUGAGACACGGCCAAGACUCCUACGGGAGGCAGCAGUGGGGAAUAUUGGACAAUGGGCGGAAGCCUGAUCCAGCCAUGCCGCGUGUGUGAAGAAGGCCUUUUGGUUGUAAAGCACUUUAAGCGAGGAGGAGGCUACCUGGAUUAAUACUCUGGGAUAGUGGACGUUACUCGCAGAAUAAGCACCGGCUAACUCUGUGCCAGCAGCCGCCGUAACAC
rnacentral:rRNA from 1 species